CUGAAAAACAUCCAAAGUCGUUAUUUUAAUAGAAUUAAACAUACCUGUACCAUUUUCUAUCUGUUUAUGAAAAUACAGAGUGGUUCAUAUUUAAUAAAAAGGAAUAAAUAGUAUAAAGACUAUAUUUUCUUAAUUCACCCCUGAACUGCAAUGUUUACAAUUACUCAUUUCCUGUUUGCAAAGAUUUUGCAUCUGAUGUGUUUCAUUUGAUAUUACACAGUUUUAUUCCGUUUUAACUGUAACGGGAAUCCAUAUCUCCUUUACGAAGAUACUGUGCAUGAUGGGG
rnacentral:lncRNA from 1 species